CAUGGGGAAGAUAGAAAUGUUCCUUGUGGCCUAGAUUCAACCGGGAGGCCUCCCUGGAGGAAGUGUCCCCUCUGAAGGUGUGAGACUUCCUGCCUAUGUCUGUGAGCUGGGGCAGGGGAGAGUGGAGGCUCUGGACUGGCCCAAUUUAAAUUCAUUUACCACACUUUAAGAAAUCUUCCCCAGGCUGGGAGCAGUGGUUCACACCUAUAAUCCCAGCACUUUGGAAGGUCAAGGUGGGAGGAUCACUUGAGCCCAGGAGUUUGAAACCAGCCUGGGCAACACAGUGAGACCCUCUCUCUACAAAAAAAAAAAAAAAAAAGCUGGGUAUGGUGGCACAUGGCUGUGGUCCCAGAUACUUGGGAGGAGUGCUUAAACCCACAAGGUCGUGGUUGCAGUGAGCUGUGAUCAUGCCACUACACUCCAGCCUGGGUGACAGUCAGACCUGUCUCAAAAAAAAAAAAAAAAAAAAAUUCCUCCCUAAGCCUCGGCAGGGGGAAUUCCUACCAUGGAUAAAGGCUUUCUCUGCAUGUGGGCCUGAUCAUUAAAAGGAAAAUUUUAGCCUCCCCGAAUUAUACUAUUAUCCAGGGUGAUUAGAUAGAGGAGAGGCUGAGAAGCCCUGAUCUCGCGGGGCCAUGGAUUAAGGGGACCCCACAGCUCAGCCAGGUUCCCAGCUGUUCACUGACUUGGUGGCUCCAGGUGCCUCAGGCUGGCUGUGCUUCUUAGGGAGCACCAGGCACCACUACUGCUUUGAGGCCCUCAAUAGCCCUCUGGUGGACCUGGUUGUGUUCUGAGCUUGGAGUCCUGAGAUGCAGACACCCCCAGCCCCGGCUGGUGGGCGUGCAGCUAGUUGUCUCCACGUAUUUGCUGCAGGGAGGGACUUGGGGGUGGGGGACCAGGAGGCAGCAGGCUAAGAUCUUCCUUCUCCACAUCAUCCUGCCCCUCCCCUGGCUGCAGGAUUUGGGGAAACCCUGGAGACCCCCAUAGCUGGGAGCUUCCUGCCCCAGAAGGAAGCCUGAGUAGGUGAGGGGUUCUCCUGGGUGCUGGGGCCCCUCUGUGGGGAAGGUGGUUGAUUUCUCUGGCUGACCAGGCUUAUCCGAAGCUCUGUGCUGGGAUAGAAGUGUCCCAAAGACACUCUGCCCCCAACUCAUACCCUACAGUGGAAACCUGGGGGCCGCAGGUCCCCCUGGCGUGAUCAUCAUUGCUUCCUGUCCACAGCUUGUCAGCCCUGAUCCCAGGGUUGUCACCAUCUGAUCAAUUGCUUUUUAUCUGCGCCUGGCAUAUAGUAAGCACUCAAUAAACGCCACUGCCUGGGCCAGGGCCAGGGCCAGGGCCAGGGAGGGGUCACCUUCCUGUGGCCUGGCUGCCCUCCUGGCCAGAAAACCUCCCUGGCGCAGUCCCUUCCAUAGCUUGGGCCGCAGCUGACUGCUCUGGGCUGGCAACUUCCUGCCCAGAGUGGCCUGAGCAGCCGCCUCUGCCCUGAGAAGAUCUUUUGUUCCAGCUCCCCGUGACGCCCCCAGCCCAGCCCAUGAGGCAGGCCUCCCUGUGGCUUCCCGUGGCAGGCAAGCCUGACUCCGAGGCUGGAGCUCUUUUCUAACAGUAAUAGUAAGAAAAUAGCAGCAGCCACUCAUGAGUCCCGUGCCAAGCACACUGCAGACAUCAGUUCUUUUUUUCUUAUAGAGAUAUGGUCUGUUUCUGUCACCCAGGCUGGAGUGCAGUGGUCAGUGAGCUAUGAUUGUGCCACUGCACUCGAGCCUGGAAGACAGAGUGAGACCCUGUCUCUAAAAAGAGAAAGAAAAAUGUCUGAUGUGUAAGAGACGCUCAGUAAAUGCCAUUGUUCUUAUGGGAGGACUGGUGGAAGGGGCCCAGUGAGGGGGUUUCCCAGCCGUUGCCUGGACAGUGAAGGACCUGGAGUGGGUGCAGCUGUUCUGAGGAAGGCUCCUGCCAGGGUUUGGCCCUGCAGUUGGGCUUCAAGACUCUGACAUACAGGGCUGCGCAGAAGGUAGGAUGGCCCAGGGGGCGGGGGAGGUUGGUUCAUGCUGGUUGCCAUGCAUCUGCCGGGAGAGCACGAAUUUGCAAAUCCAACUAAUCUCUUGCAUUCAUAUGUUCAUUCAUUCAAGAGACAUUCAUUGAGCUCCUGCUGUAUGCUGGGAGCUGGAGAUGAAGCAGGGAAUGACUCAUAGAACUCAGUCUGGUAGAGAGAUAGUCACUAAUGAAAGCAUCCUGUCAAGUGACAGCGUGACCAGUGUGCUGAAGGUCAAGUUCAGUUGGGAGCUCAGAAGAGGCUUCUCUUAUGUGCAAUUGGAAGCAGACAGGGCAGAGGGAAUGGCUCAUGCCAACACCCACAGGCAGCUGGCGUGACUAGAGGCAGAUCGUGUAGGUGGGGCAGGAGCCUGGGUCUGGAAUCAGAGCUCUCUGGGCAUCCUCCAAGCCACGAGGGCAGUGCCUGUCUCACCUGUGUGAAGGCUGGGUAUGGGGAACAGUAGGAUUGACCAAGAACAGGUGCCCUCAUGCAGGGGUAAGACCCUCCCCUUCAGGGACAGGAAGAACAUGGUGGCCAAGGGCAGAUGUGGCCCCUCCCUCUCCCUUCCCAUCUGCCUGACAGCUUUUACUGACUACUUACUGCAAAGCACCUACUGUGUGCGGGUCCCAAGGACCCUGUGAUGUACAAAACUGUCGACUAUAGCAGGGCACAGUGACUCAUGCCUGUAGUCCCAGCACUUUGAGAGGCCAAGGUGGGAGGGCUGCUUGAGCCCAGGAGUUUGAGACCAGCCUGGGCAACAUAGUGAGACCCCAUCUCUACAAAAAAAUACAAAAAUUAGCCAGGUGUCGUGGUGCAUGCCUGUAGUCCUAGCACUUUGGGAGGCCAAGAUGAGGAUAGCUUGAGCCUGGGAGGUCUAGGCUGCAGUGAGCCGUGAUUAUGCCACUGUACUCCCGCCUGGGUGACAGAACAAGACUCUGUCCCAAAAAAAAAAAACAACAAACAAACAAACCAUUGUCGACUCUGCAUGGCCCCCUUCCAGCGAGGGCAGAGGCACCUACUUCUGCUUUUUGGGGUCUCUUGCGGAGAUCGGCCAUGGGGGCUCCACCAUGGCCUCAUGUGGCAGGGGCACCCUUCAUUGCCACUGCCCUGCAGACAUGCCCAGCGGGACAUGGCCACAUGCAGAGACGGUGCCUGUGGAGGGGUGUGUGGCAGAGAGAACCCCAUUUGCAGGUUCGCAUCUCCACCUUGCUUUCCCUUUCAUGGGUUCUCUACAGACACCUUGCAAGGUGGAUGCCAUGCUGCUACCUGGUUGCCAGAUAAGGAAAUCCAGGUUCAGAGAGGUUGAGUCAGGUGUCAGGAGCCACACAGCCAAUACGUGGCCCCCUUUGUAAUGUGAGCCCUGGGAGAGCAGUGUUCGUAUGUGCUGUUCACCAUGGUAUCCCGGGGCCUAGCUUGGUGUCUGGCACACAGUAGGCCCUCAGUAACACCUGAAGGGAGGAUGAAGGAGGGCAUGGUUGGAGGCGGUAAUUGUACCCAGGCCCCUGUGGCUCUGGCUAUUGUGCAGCCACUACCCCUGCCCAGGGAGAGAGUCAUUGGAGUGGCACCGCUGUUCAUUCAGGGUGUGCUAAUAUCAGGGAUCUGGGGCCCCGUUUUGUGCCCGAGUAGGGAGAGCUUUUCUUCUCCAUCUUGAAGAACAGACGUGGACAUGUGGUCGCCAGCAGGGGCCCAGGCCCAACCAGGGUCAUGAAGAAGGAAGGAUGGUGCCCACAGAGGUCCCAGCUGUUCUGUACCGCAGACAGCAGAGGAGUGGGGGAUCUCAGUGCCAUUCUGGUGAUGUUGUGUCUAAGGAAAGGCCCUCUGGCCACGGGAGGAGAAGGAUGCCCCAGUUGAGAUGGGCAGGCAAAGGUCUGCCAGUCCUGAGGGUCCCCUGUCAGUGCAGGAAAUCCCUCUGGACCCCUUGUGACUUUUGUUAAUUUAUUCCCUUUUAUUUUUUGUUUUAUAUUUAUUUUUGUUUUUGUUUUUGGUGUGUGAUUUUUUUUUUUUCCCCA
ensembl:lncRNA